rnacentral:tRNA from 1 species
GGUGGCUCAGUGGUAGAGCACUUGCUUUGCAUGCAUGAAGCCCUGAGUUCGAUUCCUCAGCACCA